rnacentral:rRNA from 1 species
GACGAACGCUGGCGGCGUGCCUAAUACAUGCAAGUAGAACGCUGAAGGAGGAGCUUGCUUCUCUGGAUGAGUUGCGAACGGGUGAGUAACGCGUAGGUAACCUGCCUGGUAGCGGGGGAUAACUAUUGGAAACGAUAGCUAAUACCGCAUAAGAGUAGAUGUCGCAUGACAUUUGCUUAAAAGGUGCAAUUGCAUCACUACCAGAUGGACCUGCGUUGUAUUAGCUAGUUGGUGAGGUAACGGCUCACCAAGGCAACGAUACAUAGCCGACCUGAGAGGGUGAUCGGCCACACUGGGACUGAGACACGGCCCAGACUCCUACGGGAGGCAGCAGUAGGGAAUCUUCGGCAAUGGACGGAAGUCCGACCGAGCAACGCCGCGUGAGUGAAGAAGGUUUUCGGAUCGGAAAGCUCUGUUGUAAGAGAAGAACGAGUGUGAGAGUGGAAAGUUCACACUGUGACGGUAUCUUACCAGAAAGGGACGGCUAACUACGUG